CACGAAGUUAGCCGGGGCUUAUUCUUCCGGUACAGUCAUUAUCUUCCCGGACAAAAGUGCUUUACAACCCUAAGGCCUUCAUCACACACGCGGCAUGGCUGGAUCAGGCUUGCGCCCAUUGUCCAAUAUUCCCCACUGCUGCCUCCCGUAGGAGUUUGGGCCGUGUCUCAGUCCCAAUGUGGCUGAUCAUCCUCUCAGACCAGCUACUGAUCGUCGCCUUGGUGAGCCAUUACCUCACCAACUAGCUAAUCAGACGCGGGCCGAUCUUUCGGCGAUAAAUCUUUCCCCCGAAGGGCGUAUCCGGUAUUAGUACAAGUUUCCCUGUAUUAUUCCGAACCAAAGGUACGUUCCCACGUGUUACUCACCCGUCUGCCACUAGCACCCGAAGGUACCCGUUCGACUUGCAUGUGUUAAGCCUGCCGCCAGCGUUCGCUCUGAGCCAGGAUCAAACUCU
rnacentral:rRNA from 1 species